rnacentral:rRNA from 1 species
GAUGAGCGCUGGCGGCGUGCUUAACACAUGCAAGUCGAACGGAAAGGCCCCAGCUUGCUGGGGUACUCGAGUGGCGAACGGGUGAGUAACACGUGGGUGAUCUGCCCUGCACUUUGGGAUAAGCUUGGGAAACUGGGUCUAAUACCGAAUAUGACCACUUCUUGGUUGUUGUGGUGGAAAGCUUUUGCGGUGUGGGAUGAGCCUGCGGCCUAUCAGCUUGUUGGUGGGGUAGUGGCCUACCAAGGCGGCGACGGGUAUCCGGCCUGAGAGGGUGUACGGACACAUUGGGACUGAGAUACGGCCCAGACUCCUACGGGAGGCAGCAGUGGGGAAUAUUGCACAAUGGGCGCAAGCCUGAUGCAGCGACGCCGCGUGGGGGAUGAAGGCCUUCGGGUUGUAAACUCCUUUCGCUAUCGACGAAGCCACUUGUGGUGACGGUAGGUAGAUAAGAAGCACCGGCUAACUACGUGCCAGCAGCCGCGGUAA